UGAAACCUCAUCUCUACUAAAAAAAUACAAAAAUUAGCCGGGCGUGGUGGUGGGCGCCUGUAAUCCCAGCUACUCGGGUGAGACAGGAGAACUGCUUGCACCUGGGAGGUGGAGGUUGCAGUGAGCCGAGAUCACUGCACUCCAGCCUGUGUGACAAGAGCAAAACUCCAUCCAAAAAAAAAAAAAAAAAAGAUAUAUUCUUUGGAUACAGAAUUCUAGGUUGGCAAGUGUUUUUUGUUUUUUGUUUUUUUGCACUUACAAAGAUUGUCAUUACAAUGUUUUCAGCCUGCAUUGUUUCUUUUCUUUAUUUCAAUAGUUUUGGGGGAACAGGUGAUUUUUGGUUAUAUGGAUAAGUUCUUCAGUGGUUAUUUCUGAGAUUUUGGUGCACCUGUCACCGAGAAGUAUACACGUUACCCAAUGUGUAGUCUUUUAUCCUUCACCCCCGCAGAGGCUGGAAGUUUAAAGGUAGCAGAGGCUGGCUUAUGAGGAAAGAAGCCAUCUUUAUAACAUAAAAGUACAAGGUGAAGCAGCAAGUGCUGAUGUAGAAGCUGCAACAAGUUAUUCAGAAGAUCUAUUACAGCUAACACACAGCAUUGUAUGUUAUGAAUAUGGUUGAUGAAGACGGUUAUACUAAACAAAAGUUUUCAAAUUAAAUCCAGUAGCCUUAUAUUGGAAGAAAAUGUCAUCUAGGACUUCUCUAGCUGUUAAGGAGAAGUUAAUCCUGGCUUCAAAGCUUCAAAACACAGGCUGACUCUCUUGUUAGAGGUUAAUGGAGCUGGUUACCUUAAAUUAAAGCCAAUACUCAUUUACCAUUCUGAAAAUCCUUGGGCUCUUAAGAAUAAUGCUAAAUUGACUCUGACUGUGCUCUACAAAUGGAACAACAAAACUUGCAUAACAGCACAUCUGUUUACAGCAUGGUUUGCUGAAUAUUUUAAGCCCACUGUUGAGACCUACUGCUCAGAAAAAAAGAUUGCUUUCAAAAUAUUACUGCUCAUUGACAAUACACCUGGUCACCCAAGAGUUCUGAUAGAAAUGCUCAAGGGGAUUAAUGCUGUUUUUACACCUGCUGACACAAGAUUCAUUCUGCCACCCAUAAAUCAAGGAGUAAUUUCAACUUUCAAGUCUUAUUAUUGAAGAAAUACAUUUCAUAGGGCUAUUGCUGCCAAAACAGUGAUUCCUCUGAUGAAUCUGGGCAAAAUAAGUGGGAAACCUUUUGGAAAGGAUUCAUCAUUCUAGAUGUCAUUAAGAACAUUUGUGAUUCAUGGGAGGAGGUCAAAGUAUCAACAUUAACAGAAGUUUGGAAGAAGCUGAUUCCAACUGUGAAUGGUUUAAGACUUCAGUAGAGAAAGUAACUGCAGAUGU
rnacentral:lncRNA from 1 species